UACCAGCACCCCGAGUGGUCGGGACGUUUAUUGGGCCUAAAGCAUCCGUAGCCGGUUCUACAAGUCUUCCGUUAAAUCCAGCUGCUUAACAGAUGGGCUGCGGAAGAUACUAUGGAGCUAGGAGGCGGGAGAGGCAAGCGGUACUCGAUGGGUAGGGGUAAAAUCCGUUGAUCCAUUGAAGACCACCAGUGGCGAAGGCGGCUUGCCAGAACGCGCUCGACGGUGAGGGAUGAAGGCUGGGGGAGCAAACCGG
rnacentral:rRNA from 1 species